GAUGUUUUGAUGUUUUAUUUUUGUUCUUUUUACAAGAGGACUGGGCAGGGAGGAGUUGGUGUCCACUAGCCCAGUCCAGCCAGGACAGGCUCGAGUGCUGGCUUGGACCGUGUCCCGGUGGUGGGUGCUGAACCUGCUUGAGGAGGAGGGCAAAGGUCAGGGUGCGUUUCACAGGGGCCUGUGCUUCCUUGGUCUUGGCAGCCACUUGAAGUAAAGUGUGGGAGGAGUCGGAUCAGAGGAGCAAGGGCAGGUGGCCUUUGUUCCUCUGUCCCUACAGCCAUCACAUAAGGCCACGAUUCUGCCACUCAGGGAGCUGCCUCACUCGGGGGACGUCAGGGGCCCACGCUUUGGGCUUCAGACCGCUGUGCGGGGGCCGCCUCUCAGGGUCUGCUGCUGAGCUGCAGGGCCCCAGCGUCGGACUGGCCUGCCACGGGGAGGGGGUCCUGCCACGGGGGCCCUGUCACGGAGGCCCUUGUCACAGAGCAGGGCCUGCCUUGGGGGCUGCCACGGGGGCAGGGGCUCAGCACUGCGUUCAGUGUUUGGUGGGCACAUGUGACUAAUGCCAGCCGCACCUGCUCCAGCGGCCCCUCCUUGGGACCCCAGGAGCAGAGCGUCACCUCCCCGGGUCACUGGAGCCAGAGGCCUGGGUCCCCGCUUAGACCCCAUUUUGUGGUUUCUUUCUCCUGAGUCUGGCUCCGGGCAGGGGGCCCGCGGAGGUGCAGGGACCAGGAGGCCCCCGCUCUGCAGGUUUGGGUGGGCCUCACCCUAACCCCAACCCUGGCCCAUGCAGGUGUCGCUGCCCUGCAGCCUCCACCCCUCUGUCCCCGGCAUCGAGUGUCUCCCGAGCCCCGCUGUGCCGCCCCUGGUCGGUUCCGCCACUCCCCCGCCUGCACUCCUCGCUGCUCCCUGCCCCACCGCCCGGCUAAAUCGACUCCUGGAAAAUAAGGCACGAACUUACUUCCACUCCCUCCGGCCUGCACAGCGCCCGGCACAAGCUGGGGGCUUGUGAGCCAUGAGAACGAGGCGGGGAUCUUGGGUUCCACCUGCAAAUCCAUGUUCUCCCUUAGGGACACGUGCGGAGUAUUUCCCCGCCCGUGUAGCAGGUGUGUCCAGGUGAGGGAAGUGCAGCCACGGACCGGGAGCAGACGCAAGCCACGUGCAGCCCAGUGCAGACCCUCCUGGGCUUUGGCCGGGUGCAGGUGUCCCCAGGUGCGGGAGUCCCCAGGUCUCUAGGUCAAUAAACUCGGAGUUGUCGGCCGAGAAUCCUGUGAUUCGGAAUAAGCUGUGAGUAAGUGUCUUCACGAUGGGGCGUCGUCAGCUGCUGAGAGGAGACGGGGAGUUUGCAGGAGGUACUGAGAGAAGUGACCAUGAGGAGGAGGCUUUCGCCCCGGCGGCAGUUCCCCGGGCUCCGCUCCCGCGGUCUCUGCUGUUGUUGGCACCCGCAUGGGUGUGGCACGUCAGUCACAGCAUGAGCCGACAUCGAUACGUCGUUAUUGUGAUCUACCUUAUGCCAGUCGCCUGCCUUAGUCUGGGUUGCUGUAACAGAAAACCGGAGGCUGGGCGAUUCACAAAGAAAAGAAAUUCACUGGGCUCGUGGUUCUGGAGGCCGCACAGUCUGAGGUCAAGGGGCUCGUGUGGUGAGGGCCGUCCUGCGGGACGUCCCGUGGGAGACGGUGACGGGGUGACACCCCACCACCAAAGGGGACAACGAACUUCUUCCUCCUCCUCCUCUUCUUUUGGGAUGGUUUUUGAGACACCGCACUAAUCCUCGGGGGUGCGCAUGCUCACAGUCCCUUUACUUUGAGGAGUGGCGGCAGGACAGGGUGGGACGGAGGACGUCCCCGGGGCGGGAGGGCCUGAGGACAGGUCGGGAGACGCUCCUCACAUGAGGGUCUAAAGGCAGCUGGGGUGGGAGGGGCGGCCUGUGAGAUCCGGCGUCGGUGUGGAGACGCUACUGCGUGACAGAUGAAUUCAGAACAUGGUGCUGGCGGCGGCACACGCCAGUUGGAUCCAUUCUGCAUGGCGUGUGGGCACUAGGGCCAUUCCAGCUUAAUCAACUAGUUGCUGACGCUUUUUACUGCUCCCGCAGGCCUGGCUGCGGGCGCUUUGCUUUGGGGAGAUGCUCUUGGGGAGGAGCAGACUGCUGAGAACAAACGCACUGUGUUGGGUUGAGGAACACGUGACCUUCUCGUUUGUUUCUGUAUGUUAACAGAGGCAGCAGUACACACGGUGUGGAUUUCCGAACACGACAACUGGGAGGACGCGAUGGCCCGUGUGCUCUCGGGGAGAAGGCGGCCUCAGGAGGGGUGAAGACAACGUCUGUGGCUCUGUCACCGUGCAAGCGGCUGGUGCCCCGCGUAGGGCCGACUCGCGCACAGGGUAGAACAUGACACUUCUAGGCAGAGCCGAGGCUGAGCAGGGCGGACUUCAGGACCCGACCAGGCGCCCGCCACAGCCCGCCGGACGCAGGGUGCUGUCACUGCCAUUCUCGGGGCAGCCCACUGAGUUAGAAGGAUUCAAUUUCAUCCCAGCAGUUUCACCAGGAAUGUGGUUAACUGUGGCCGAUAGAGAUGGCAUUGAAGUGUUUGCUAUUUGAGUCUUCCCAUCUGGCUUGGUUUUGUUUAUCAUUAUUGCGAGACAGGUGUUCAGAAAAUAAAACAUAUUUUAGAGUGAAUCUGAUUCACAUUUCCAAGCCAAGUUUUCAUUUAAUAAUUCCCUUUAUCAGAUGUAGAGGCAGACAGUGAGCAUUUCUGCCAGCCUGGGAGUUUCUGGGCACUUUCCUGCUGUCCCAGUGCUGUAGUUGUCACCACAGGUACACUCGGUACAUUCCGUGGGAGUGAAUAGUUCAGUGAACUCUAAAGUACUUAUUUUUUCUAACAUACUUAUUCUGACACAAUAACAGCAACAGGCUAUUGACUGUGGCAUGUUAUAAUGUAUUCUCUGCAGCUGGAAAAAGUAUAUAUUUUGGAAAGAUGAGUGUAGGACUCAUUUGACAUUACAUCAUCAGAUGGGUCUAACAAAGUCUUUAGAAAGAGAUCUCUGGGCCUAACAGGCUGAGUGCAGAGUGUCCGUGCACCUCUGGGAGGCUCUCUUCUGCUUAUUUAGAAAAAUCCUAUAGGACAUCACUGAUGAUUUAUUUGAAUAUCGGUUUAAGAAGAAUCCUUACCAUUUAGAGAUACAUACUGAAAUAUUUACAGAUAGAGCAACAUGACACGUGGGAUUUAUUUCACAAUAAUCAGGUUUGGGGGUCGCAGGCCUGUCUGACACAGGACGGCUCCGAGCUGAGAAUUGCUGGACAGGGCAAUAGGAAUGGCAGCAUUUUGAAAAUCUUCACAAUUAAUAAUUUUAAAUGUGUUAGAGGAAAUAAUCUUCCUGCACCGAUUUCACUGGCAAUUUAUGUACAAAUUACCUGCUGAUUUUGCUUCUCGUCUCAUCGCUGCCAAGGGUCACGGCAGCCCCUGGAGAGGGUGUGUGCAAAGCAGGUCCCCGGGGACGGUCUCGGUGGGAUUCGGAGCGGAGGGUGGCUGGAGCCACGGCAGGCGGCCGGCGGCAGACCCGGGACCGACCGCAGGCUUGAGAGCCCUUGAUGGAAAGAAAUCCCUCUCCAGCGACUCUUGAACACGCUACUCUGCGUUAGAUUUUACGACGUAGACUGUGAACGUCCUGGACUUUCAGGUUCUGUUUCGUGGAUCUUUAUGUCUGUCCUUAUGCUGAUACCAGAUGAGCGUGAUCACCGUAGCGUUAUCGCAAGUCUGAGAUCCAGUAAUGCCGGUGCCCAAACUGCCUUCUUUUGCAAAGUUGUUUUGGAUCCUUUUCAGGUCCAUAUAAAUAAAUAGUUAUUUGUCAAUUUCCUCAAAACCA